rnacentral:rRNA from 1 species
UACGUAGGGUGCGAGCGUUGCCCGGAUUUAUUGGGCGUAAAGGGCGCGUAGGCGGCUGCGCACGUCCGUUGUGAAAUCGCCCGGCUCAACUGGGCGGGGUCAGCGGAUACGGCGCGGCUGGAGCAAGCUAGGGGGCAAUGGAAUUCCCGGUGUAGUGGUGGAAUGCGUAGAUAUCGGGGAGGAACACCAGUGGCGAAGGCGGUUGCCUGGAGCUUUGCUGACGCUGAUGCGCGGAAAGCCGUGGGGAGCGAGUCCGG